ACCCUUGCGAACACCUUACCUUACACCAUGCACAUACCAUUUAAGAUCUAAAACUAAAGUUUAAUAUUUAGUAAUAAAUGAUGGCUUUUAGAAGUUUACAUCUUUGUAAAAAGUAAGCGUAGAACGUGGGCACACCCAUCCUCGUUAUCAUUUCAUAAUAUAUCGGAAAGCUACUCUAGUCACUACCUACUGCACCUUCCACUGUUCGAGUAAUACCUACAGGUCACUAUCUGGCUUCGCUACAUGCAACAAAGUUAGGAAUCGCCAACUGUGACAGUUCCAGGCAAUGUGAUGAACCUGAGGUCAUCGAAACCCUGGAACAUCUGAUCUGCAACUGCCCAGCUCUUUUAAUGGAAAGGAGGAAAUACCUGGGCGCCCAGGUGCUGGCAUCGCUGGAAGAUGCCUCCAAGAGGACGCAACAGGAACUACUCGCCUAUGCAAAAACACUUGGAUUCUCGAGGACUUUAAAAUCACAGGCCCCGUUGAGGGCCGUGCUUGGAUUUAUAAAGAGGUAGUCAAAGGAAUUGUAUGACCCCUGUAUAACGAAGACUCUCUAUUAUUGGGUUAAGAUGGCGAUCUCACACUUGCAUCCCAGUAAUAAUUCGUCCAAAGUUAAAAAAAAUUAAUUUGUUCGACUUUAAUGUAAAACUUUUUAUUUAAACAUCUUAACAAAUGGCAGCAACAGACACAUUGAAUAUUAUUUUUGUUUUUAACGGAUGGAUACUUAAAUAACUACAAAAAUGCUCCAUUUCCACAUUGCAGUACAUUAAAACAUACGCUGCAAA